rnacentral:tRNA from 1 species
GGCGGUGUAGCUCAGCGGUAGAGCAGAGGUUUCAUAAGCCUUGUGUCCUGGGUUCGAAUCCCAGCGCCGCCA